rnacentral:rRNA from 1 species
CAAUAGCGCAUGUUAAAGUUGUUGCAGUUAAAAAGCUCGUGGUUGGAUUUGUGGUUGGAGCGACCGGCCCGUCACUCAGUGUCGGUGUUUGUGUCGUCUCCGUCCAUCCUUGGGUGGAAGCAGCGUGGCAUUGAGUUGUCGUGCUGGGGACACCCAUCGUUCACUGUGAAAAAAUUAGAGUGUUCAAAGCAGGCUUGCGCCGUUGAACAUGUUAGCAUGGAACAAUAAGAUAGGACCUGGGUACUAUUUUGUUGGUUUGCGCACCCUGGUAAUGAUUAACAGGGACAGUUGGGGGUGUUCGUAUUCCAUUGUCAGAGGUGAAAUUCUUGGAUUUCUGGAAGACGAACUGAUGCGAAAGCAUUUACCAAGGAUGUUUUCAUCAA